rnacentral:rRNA from 1 species
UACGGGGGGAGCAAGCGUUGUUCGGAUUUACUGGGCGUAAAGGGCUCGUAGGCGGCCAACUAAGUCGGAUGUGAAAUCCCCAGGCUUAACCUGGGAACUGCAUCCGAUACUGGAUGGCUUGAAUUCGGGAGAGGGAUGCAGAAUUCCAGGUGUAGCGGUGAAAUGCGUAGAUAUCUGGAGGAAUACCGGUGGCGAAGGCGGCAUCCUGGACCGACAUUGACGCUGAGGAGCGAAAGCUAGGGGAGCAAACGGG